rnacentral:tRNA from 1 species
GUGAGCGUAGCUCAGUCGGUUAGAGCGACAGGUUGUGGCCCUGUAGGUCGCGGGUUCGAGUCCCGUCGCUCACCCCA